AGUGAACGCUGGCGGUAGGCCUAACACAUGCAAGUCGAACGGCAGCACAGUAAGAGCUUGCUCUUACGGGUGGCGAGUGGCGGACGGGUGAGGGAUACAUCGGAAUCUACUUUUUCGUGGGGGAUAACGUAGGGAAACUUACGCUAAUACCGCAUACGACCUACGGGUGAAAGCAGGGGAUCUUCGGACCUUGCGCGAUUGAAUGAGCCGAUGUCGGAUUAGCUAGUUGGCGGGGUAAAGGCCCACCAAGGCGACGAUCCGUAGCUGGUCUGAGAGGAUGAUCAGACACACUGGAACUGAGACACGGUCCAGACUCCUACGGGAGGCAGCAGUGGGGAAUAUUGGACAAUGGGCGCAAGCCUGAUCCAGCCAUACCGCGUGGGUGAAGAAGGCCUUCGGGUUGUAAAGCCCUUUUGUUGGGAAAGAAAAGCAGCAGGUUAAUACCCCGCUGUUCUGACGGUACCCAAAGAAUAAGCACCGGCUAACUUCGUG
rnacentral:rRNA from 1 species